UGAUGGCUCUAAGGUGGUGUUUGGUUCAGUUGUUAGCGCUAUGUGUGCUGUCACAGUGGAGUAAUUUGCUCCAGAUCCCAUGAGCGCUGAUGUUGCAGCGAAUUGGCUAGCAGUUUCAACAGCCAGUUUAACAAAGUAAUCAGCAGUUUCCUUGGCUGUUUCAGCUUCAGAAACCAGUGGCGCAGGCAGAGCUCCUUGAUAAACUCGCUCUAGCUGAUUAUGAGAUCCAAUGUGGACAACCUGGUAUCAAUGCUGCGGAAUGUGAAACUAUCAACUUCUGCUUUGAUGGACAGCAGUGUUAUGGCAGGGCAGUAUAGGUACUCUGCUUCUUCUGUGGAAGUCAACUCCAGCAGUAGCUACCCCUGGACCCCCUCAGGGUGGAGCUUAAACUGGGCAAUGGCCAACGUGUCAAAGGAUUUGCAGAAUGGGCUGAGGCCUGCGAGAGCCAGUGUUUGGGGUGUACAUUUUGGAGAGAUUUAACCCCAGCCUUGUCAUGAUGCUUGGAUGUUGCUGUGCAACUUCAACCUCCAGUCUGCCCCAGUGGGACCUUCUGGUUGAUGGAUGCCCUUACCAAGAUCAUUACCUGACCACAUUGGUGCAGGUCCCCCAUGUUCAUUGGUGCAACACCCCCCAGGUGUUCUAUGUUCUAGGCUUCUGCACAAGCCAUUUUAAGUGACCUAACAUUGGGCACGACAAAGGUUGUCAAAAUGAGGUUUAUGCUUGACUAGAGGUGGGAGAACUGAUUCUCUGAUGCAUAUCAGAAUUGUUUGUUUUUCAAUAUGCUGUGUUUUACUUCAGGUAUGCUUUCACUUAUGCCAUUUGGAAUGCAGUAUUAAAUGCAUGGAACUCGUAUACUGA